AGACCCGAAACCCGGUGAUCUAGCCAUGGGCAGGUUGAAGGUUGGGUAACACUAACUGGAGGACCGAACCGACUAAUGUUGAAAAAUUAGCGGAUGACCUGUGGCUGGGGGUGAAAGGCCAAUCAAACCGGGAGAUAGCUGGUUCUCCCCGAAAGCUAUUUAGGUAGCGCCUCGUGAAUUCAUCUCCGGGGGUAGAGCACUGUUUCGGCUAGGGGGCCAUCCCGGCUUACCAACCCGAUGCAAACUGCGAAUACCGGAGAAUGUUAUCACGGGAGACACACGGCGGGUGCUAACGUCCGUCGUGAAGAGGGAAACAACCCAGACCGCCAGCUAAGGUCCCAAAGUCAUGGUUAAGUGGGAAACGAUGUGGGAAGGCCCAGACAGCCAGGAUGUUGGCUUAGAAGCAGCCAUCAUUUAAAGAAAGCGUAAUAGCUCACUGGUCGAGUCGGCCUGCGCGGAAGAUGUAACGGGGCUAAACCAUGCACCGAAGCUGCGGCAGCGACACUAUGUGUUGUUGGGUAGGGGAGCGUUCUGUAAGCCUGUGAAGGUGUGUCGUGAGGCAUGCUGGAGGUAUCAGAAGUGCGAAUGCUGACAUAAGUAACGAUAAAGCGGGUGAAAAGCCCGCUCGCCGGAAGACCAAGGGUUCCUGUCCAACGUUAAUCGGGGCAGGGUGAGUCGACCCCUAAGGCGAGGCCGAAAGGCGUAGUCGAUGGGAAACGGGUUAAUAUUCCCGUACUUGGUGUUACUGCGAAGGGGGGACGGAGAAGGCUAUGUUGGCCGGGCGACGGUUGUCCCGGUUUAAGCGUGUAGGUGUGUGUUCCAGGUAAAUCCGGUU
rnacentral:rRNA from 2 species